GACACGUCUUUGAUGGAAAGUGAAAGCAUUUCUCACAGACGUAACACUCUACAGACCAACAAUCCUCAAGUUUUUCUUCUGUGUUUUGUGUUUUGUUAAAGUACAGCAGGUUCAGAAAGAUGUACCAGGUUUUCUUUCCUCAAAAGGGAAAUCUAAGACCAUUAGAUGUGGCAGCUUCAAGAGAAGAAUUUGAUAACACCACCGUUCGGGAGUUAACGACAAAAAUUUGCACUGCACUAGUUGGAGAGCCGAGAGGCAUGAAUAACCUUACAGUGUAUUUUGAGGAAACAUCUUUAAAAAAUGAUCAAACACUUGGCUUUUAUAAUAUUCAACCUUCAUCGACUCUUGGAUUAGGUUAUUGGGAGCUCCAUUCACUAGUGCUGCCUAUUGAUGAUGAUGAUCGUUUGCCCCGGGCGGAUUCUCUGGAAUUGUUAAAGCUUAACAUGUAGCUCUGUGACAUUCGCUUGGACUUGAGAAGAAACAAGGUGGACAAAAUCUAAAUCUAAAAAAUCUAAAAAAUAUUACACAAUUCAAACAUGUUCUGUCUGUCUGUUCACUGCAAUGAGAUUGUUGUUUCUGUCUAAUGUUUGAGGUUUUUCUCCCUGUGUGUUUCAAUGGUUUGCUUUAAUUUGAACAGACAUUGAUCAGGUUUAUGAAUGAUAUGCCAUAUAAAAGAGACAGAAAGAUAAAACCCAUUCUAGGCAGAGACACGUAACAUCUAUAACAGUGAUCUAUAACAUUUUAGUGUCUCAGUGUGUAACAUUGUCAAUAAACACCAAAUCUCAUGAUACCGUCAGGCAAACACAUAUUUGUAACAUGAAGACAGAAGUAUUUUGUUUUCUUAUCUUUUGCAUUCAUUUUAUAUUCACCUGAAGUGUUUUCCAAGUUUUUAUCAAGUGUUAUCCAUGCAUGGGCAUGCUGUCUAAUGCACUUUGCAACCGAAUACUGACAUUAACAUUUCAAAGAAAAUCUAUACUGUCAUAUUUUGUAUAGCCUUUUGUACACAUGAUAGCAAAACAGCUUUGCAGAACAUUAGUGAAAGAAUCAUGUCUUCUUUGAAGCUAAAAUAUAAUGAAUAAAAUGAAAAGAUGGUGUUCCUGUUCAUAUUAUUUGACAUAUCACUGUACUCUCGUCUCUAUAGACUAACAUUGUCAAGGUAACCAGUAGUGCAAAUUUCAAUUUUUCUAUUUCUAAAAAAGAUUAGCCGAUUUUAUCGAUAUUUUUGUUGAAAUGAAUGUGAACUUUAUUCUUUGAGCCUCAACUGUAUUCUUGUUAAACUCUCUUAAUAUGUUACAAACAUUGCCAUGUUGUUUUCAAAGGCUUGUGUUUUUGGACAACAGCUAAAUAAAAUAAAACAUCUAUACU